rnacentral:rRNA from 1 species
UAGGGAAUCUUCGGCAAUGGAUGGAAGUCUGACCGAGCAACGCCGCGUGAGUGAAGAAGGUUUUCGGAUCGUAAAGCUCUGUUGUAAGAGAAGAACGAGUGUGAGAGUGGAAAGUUCACACUGUGACGGUAUCUUACCAGAAAGGGACGGCUAACUACGUGCCAGCAGCCGCGGUAAUACGUAGGUCCCGAGCGUUGUCCGGAUUUAUUGGGCGUAAAGCGAGCGCGGGCGGUUAGAUAAGUCUGAAGUUAAAGGCUGUGGCUUAACCAUAGUAGGCUUUGGAAACUGUUUAACUUGAGUGCAAGAGGGGAGAGUGGAAUUCCAUGUGUAGCGGUGAAAUGCGUAGAUAUAUGGAGGAACACCGGUGGCGAAAGCGGCUCUCUGGCUUGUAACUGACGCUGAGGCUCGAAAGCGUGGGGAGCAAACAGGAUUAGAUACCCUGGUAGUCCACGCUGUAAACGAUGAGUGCUAGGUGUUAGACCCUUUCCGGGGUUUAGUGCCGUAGCUAACGCAUUAAGCACUCCGCCUGGGGAGUACGACCGCAAGGUUG